UACGAAGGUCCCAAGCGUUAUCCGGAUUUAUUGGGUUUAAAGGGUGCGUAGGCGGCUUAUUAAGUCAGUGGUGAAAGCCCCAAGCUUAACUUGGGAACUGCCAUUGAUACUGAUGAGCUUGAGUAGAUUUGAGGCGGGCGGAAUGUGUCGUGUAGCGGUGAAAUGCGCAGAUAUCGGGAGGAACACCAAUGGCGAAGGCAGCUCGCUGGGACGGUACUGACGCUGAGACGCGAAAGCGUGGGGAGCAAACAGG
rnacentral:rRNA from 1 species